ensembl:lncRNA
GUGGUGGUGUAGAUGGUGAUGGCAUUGUAGAUGGUGGUGUAGAUUGUGAUGUAGAUGUGGUGGUGGAGAAGAAGGUGGUGGUGAUGGUGGUGGUGGUGGUGGUGUAGAUUGUGGCAGUGUAGAUGGUGGUGGUGGUGUAGAUAGUGGUGGUGUAGAUGGUAAAGAUGGUGGUGGUGGUGGUGUAGAUUGUGGUGGUGUAGAUGCCGGUGGUGUUGUAGAUGGUCGUGAAGAUUGUGGUGGUGUAGAUGGUACUGGUGGUGGUGUAGAUGGUACUGGUGGUGUAGAUGGUGGUGGUGUAGAUUGUGGUGGUGUAGCUGGUACUGGUGGUGGUGAAGAUGGUGGUGGUGUAGAUGGUGGUGGUGUAGAUGGUAAAGAUGGUGGUGGUGGUGGUGUAGAUUGUGGCGGUGUAGAUGGUGGUGGCAUUGUAGAUGGUGGUGUAGAUUGUGGUGGUGUAGAUGGUACUGGUGGUGGUGUAGAUGGUGGUGGUGUAGAUGGUAAAGAUGGUGGUGGUGGUGGUGUAGAUUGUGGCGGUGUAGAUGGUGGUGGCAUUGUAGAUGGUGGUGUAGAUUGUGGUGGUGUAGAUGGUACUGGUGGUGGUGUAGAUGGUGGUGGUGUAGAUGGUAAAGAUGGUGGUGGUGGUGGUGUAGAUUGUGGUGGUGUAGAUGCCGGUGGCGUUGUAGAUGGUCGUGAAGAUUGUGGUGGUGUAUUUGAUGGUGUUGCUGGUGAAGAUGGUGGUGGUGUAGAUGGUUGUGGUGAUAGUAGUGGUGUAGUUAGUGGUGGUGCUGUAGUUGGUGGAGGUGUAGAUGGUGUUGCUGGUGAAGAUGGUGGUGGUGUAGAUGGUGGUGUAGAUGGUGGAAGUGGUGUAGAGGUUUGUGUAUAUGGUGGUGGUAGUGGUGGUAGUGUUUAAGAUGGUGGUGAAGAUUGUGG